rnacentral:pre_miRNA from 9 species
UCUCGAUAACGUUAAAGUUAAUUCAAAUUUAUAUAGAUUUGGAACGUUUGCCUACGUUUGCCGCUAGGGGCGCUGUUCCAACUGCAUACAAAUUUGAGUUACUUUUACGCUAUCGA